rnacentral:rRNA from 1 species
CCUACGGGAGGCAGCAGUGAGGAAUAUUGGUCAAUGGACGAGAGUCUGAACCAGCCAAGUAGCGUGAAGGAUGACUGCCCUAUGGGUUGUAAACUUCUUUUAUAUGGGAAUAAAAUGUUCCACGUGUGGGAUUUUGUAUGUACCAUAUGAAUAAGGAUCGGCUAACUCGGUGCCAGCAGCCGCGGUAAUACGGAGGAUCCGAGCGUUAUCCGGAUUUAUUGGGUUUAAAGGGUGCGUAGGCGGAGUGUUAAGUCAGUUGUGAAAGUUUGCGGCUCAACCGCAAAAUUGCAGUUGAAACUGGCAGUCUUGAGUACAGUAGAGGUGUGCGGAAUGCGUGGUGUAGCGGUGAAAUGCUUAGAUAUCACGAAGAACUCCGAUUGCGAAGGCAGCUCGCUGGACUGCAACUGACACUGAGGCUCGAAAGUGUGGGUAUCAAACAGGAUUAGAUACCCUGGUAGUC